AGUGAACGCUGGCGGUAGGCCUAACACAUGCAAGUCGAACGGCAGCACAGUAAGAGCUUGCUCUUACGGGUGGCGAGUGGCGGACGGGUGAGGAAUACAUCGGAAUCUACUUUUUCGUGGGGGAUAACGUAGGGAAACUUACGCUAAUACCGCAUACGACCUACGGGUGAAAGCAGGGGAUCUUCGGACCUUGCGCGAUUGAAUGAGCCGAUGUCGGAUUAGCUAGUUGGCGGGGUAAAGGCCCACCAAGGCGACGAUCCGUAGCUGGUCUGAGAGGAUGAUCAGCCACACUGGAACUGAGACACGGUCCAGACUCCUACGGGAGGCAGCAGUGGGGAAUAUUGGACAAUGGGCGCAAGCCUUAUCCAGCCAUACCGCGUGAGUUAAGAAGGCCUUCGGGUUGUAAAGCCCUUUUGUUGGGAAAGAAAAGCAUCAGGUUAAUACCCCGCUGUUCUGACGGUACCCAAAGAAUAAGCACCGGCUAACUUCGUG
rnacentral:rRNA from 1 species